GCUGAGGUUAACCACUAUGCCCCUGGGCUGGUCCCAAAUAUGGUCCUUUUUUUAUCCACCCUGUCAAUCUCUGCCUUUACCUGGACUGUUUAGAGACCAUUAAUAUUUAAGGUAAUUAUUGAUAUGGUAGGAUUUAGGUCUACCAUUUUAUUAUAUGUUUUCUGUUUGCUCCUCUAUUUCCUUGUAUCUCUGUUCUCCCUUUCCUUCCUUCUUUUGGAUCAUUUGAAUAUUUUAAAUUAUCUAUUGGAUUUUAGGCUAUUACCUCUUUGGAUUUUCUUUUUGAUUUAGUAGUUGCUCUAGAGUUUACAAUAUAUAUAACUAAUUUUUCAUAGUCUACUUAGAAUAAAAAUUGUACUACCUCACAUAAAAUGUAGAAGCAUGGCAACCACAUGGGUCCUUAUCCCCCAAACUUUGUUAUAGUUGUAUAUCGAUUAAUUUACAUACAUUGCAACCCUCACCGAUGGUAUAAUUUUUGCUUCCAACAAAAUAUAUAUUUUAAAUAUACAUAUAUGUUUCAAUAGAUUUUAAAGAAGAGGGAAAAAAUAGCCUUUUAUAUUUAUCUGGAUAUUUACCAUUUGUUGCUCUUUCUUCAUUUCCAGAGAUCCAAGUUUCCUGGUAUCAUUUCCCUUCAGUAUGAGGAACUUCCUUCAGCAUUUCUUGCAGAGACAGAAAGGUGCAGUUGACCACUUCAAACAGUCUAUCUGUUUGAUCACGAUCUUCAGCCCUGUAGAAGAACUUGGAAGACACAUCUUUACCUGAAAAUCUUGAAAGGUCUUCUUGGAGCAACCGAGGCCAUGGAGAACAGCUUCUGGAGGGCGGCUCUCCCUCUGGAUUAUGAACUGGUGAACCUAGAAGGGAAACUUCCUGCUACAAUAACACAGCAAGGCAAUGUGAUGAACACUUUUAUUUACAAAUAUAAUUAAAAGCUCUGACAGUUAUCAUGCUCUUCCUUGGGACCUGAAAAAUGUUUUUGUUUUUGUUUUUAAAGUGCAUGCAAAAGAAGUAAAGCCUUUUUUUUUUCAUCAUUUUUUAUUGUAAGAAAAUACACAGUUUGAAAGUGUGAAUAAUGCAAUAUUUAUGACCAAGAUAUGGGACUUAGGGAGGGGAAGGGAAAUAAAGAAAAAGAUCAAGAUGAUCUGAUUGAGAGACAGUGUUGAACUCCAAAUACUGAAUUGGAAAAGGAGGGAGGUGGGGAGGAAUAGGAGGAGGAAGUAAAAAAAUUUGAUCAGAGAAACAGUUAAAAUACAAUAUGAAAAUAAGUAAUACCUCUCCUUAAAUUCCUUCUAUACACAAAAUACACGAUUUGCCAAAGCCCAAUUUGUGCUACUGGGAUUCUGUGAGCUCCUUAAGUGUAUUCACAUCCUCUGCAACAGCAGAAAAUGACUAUGAUACAAUCAGAAUAUGCUGAAGACAAGUUAAACUCUUGCCAGCAGGUUCUUAAAAAUCACAAGAUCUCUUCACCCCUCCCACCCCCCCAUCCCCAAAAAAGUAAUAAUAUGUCACCACUGAUAUGUACAUCACAAUUAGUUUCUGUAAAAUGUAUCAAAUUUUCAAUCUUUAAUAAAACUUUGUUUUUUUUAAUUCCUGAUGAAUAAAUACCAAAAAAAUAAAAUAAAAUAAAAUAA